GGGGAAGCAGACUUCCUGCUGAGCAGAGAGCCCAGUGUGGGGCUCCAUCCUAGGACCUCGGGAUCAUGACCUGAGCGGAAGGCAGAGGCUUUAACCCACUGAGCCACACAGAUGCCCCACAAGAGCUCAAUUUUUAAGCACCGGCUUUCCUAUCUAGAGAAAAGCUGUUUCAGUCUCGAGCAGGGAUCUGGAGAACAAUUAAAGAAGGCAUUUCACAGCUGCCAAGGGAACUCUGCCAAGAUCUGAAAUAUCCUGUUGGAGCUCUUUCGCAAGCAGGAUUCAUUCCUUCAGGCAUGCAAACCCACAGGAGAGUGAGCUCUGCAGCCAGUCUUGAACACUGCAGCUUCUCAAAUGGCACCUCCUCUCUGAUGUGGUCCUCAAGGGCACCUUGUGGACUCCAAGAUUUUACAGGAUUGGCUACAUCUGCUGAGCCACAGGUGGACAACUGGGUUGCAUCUGGUUUGGAGCUAUUAAGAAAAUAUUUCUGUGAACCAUCUUUUACAAGUCUUUUGUGGGCAUGUAUUUUCAUUUCUUUUGAGAAAAGACCUAGG
rnacentral:lncRNA from 1 species